rnacentral:misc_RNA from 1 species
GGGGGUGGUGACUUAUAGUGGUAGAGUGGUGGGGGAGAUGUCGAUGGGGGUGGUGGAGAUUGGUAGUGAUAGGGUGGUGGAGGCGACGGUGAUGGCGGGGGUGGUGACUUAUAGUGAUAAGACGGUGGAAGAGAUUUCAUUGGGGGAGGGGGAGAUUUGUAGGAGUAAGGUGGCGAAUGAGACACUGAAGGGGGAGGUGGAGGGGACUU